rnacentral:rRNA from 1 species
AGCGAACGCUGGCGGCAGGCCUAACACAUGCAAGUCGAGCGAAGCCUUCGGGCUUAGCGGCGGACGGGUGAGUAACGCGUGGGAACGUGCCCUUUGGUACGGAAUAGCCCCGGGAAACUGGGAGUAAUACCGUAUGUGGUCGAGAGACGAAAGAUUUAUCGCCAAAGGAUCGGCCCGCGUUGGAUUAGGUAGUUGGUGGGGUAAUGGCCUACCAAGCCGACGAUCCAUAGCUGGUUUGAGAGGAUGAUCAGCCACACUGGGACUGAGACACGGCCCAGACUCCUACGAGAGGCAGCAGUGGGGAAUCUUAGACAAUGGGGGAAACCCUGAUCUAGCCAUGCCGCGUGAUCGAUGAAGGCCUUAGGGUUGUAAAGAUCUUUCAGUGGGGAAGAUAAUGACUGUACCCACAGAAGAAGCCCCGGCUAACUCCGUGCCAGCCGCCGCAGUAA